UAGGGAAUCUUCGGCAAUGGACGAAAGUCUGACCGAGCAACGCCGCGUGAGUGAAGAAGGUUUUCGGAUCGUAAAACUCUGUUGUUAGAGAAGAACAAGGACGUUAGUAACUGAACGUCCCCUGACGGUAUCUAACCAGAAAGCCACGGCUAACUACGUGCCAGCAGCCGCGGUAAUACGUAGGUGGCAAGCGUUGUCCGGAUUUAUUGGGCGUAAAGGGAGGGCAGGCGGUUUCUUAAGUCUGAUGUGAAAGCCCCCGGCUCAACCGGGGAGGGUCAUUGGAAACUGGGAGACUUGAGUGCAGAAGAGGAGAGUGGAAUUCCAUGUGUAGCGGUGAAAUGCGUAGAUAUAUGGAGGAACACCAGUGGCGAAGGCGGCUCUCUGGUCUGUAACUGACGCUGAGGCUCGAAAGCGUGGGGAGCAAACAGG
rnacentral:rRNA from 1 species